rnacentral:rRNA from 1 species
UUGGAGGGCAAGUCUGGUGCCGGCAGCCGCGGUAAUUCCAGCUCCAAUAGCGUAUAUUAAAGUUGUUGCAGUUAAAAAGCUCGUAGUUGAAUUUCGGGGUCAGUAGGCUGGUCGUGCCUCAGGUACGUACUGGUCUUACUGAUUCCUCCUUCCUGACGAACCGUAAUGCCAUUAAUUUGGUGUUGCGGGGAAUCUGGACUGUUACUUUGAAAAAAUUAGAGUGUUUAAAGCAGGCUAACGCUUGAAUACAUUAGCAUGGAAUAAUGAAAUAGGACGAUCGAUCCAAUUUUGUUGGUUUCUAGGAUUGACGUAAUGAUUAAUAGGGAUAGUUGGGGGCAUUAGUAUUCAAUUGUCAGAGGUGAAAUUCUUGGAUUUAUUGAAGACUAACUACUGCGAAAGCAUUUGCCAAGGAUGUUUUCAUUAAUCAAGAACGAAAGUUAGGGGAUCGAAGACGAUCAGAUACCGUCGUAGUCUUAACCAUAAACUAUGCCGACUAGGGAUCGGAUGAUGUUAAUUUUUUAAUGACUCAUUCGGCGCCUUACGGGAAA